rnacentral:rRNA from 1 species
UACGGGGGGGGCAAGCGUUGUUCGGAAUUACUGGGCGUAAAGGGCUCGUAGGUGGCCAACUAAGUCAGACGUGAAAUCCCUCGGCUUAACCGGGGAACUGCGUCUGAUACUGGAUGGCUUGAGGUUGGGAGAGGGAUGCGGAAUUCCAGGUGUAGCGGUGAAAUGCGUAGAUAUCUGGAGGAACACCGGUGGCGAAGGCGGCAUCCUGGACCAAUACUGACACUGAGGAGCGAAAGCCAGGGGAGCAAACGGG